GGAAGGCACCACCCACAGCCGCGCUGGGGCGGGUGCAGAUUUUCUGGUGGCGCAUUGCAGAUGCAAAAACAAACCAGGGGCAAAUAAAUAAACAGCAGGGGGUCUUUGCGGGCAGGGAAUUGGCGUCCCUGGGAUUCAGGGGUGCGUCAUUCCGGCCCUGGCGGAGGUUGGGGCGCAGAGCCCCACACGCGGCGGGGGCGCUGCGGCUGCAGUCGCCUCCCAGAUAGUUCUCUGGGCCGCGGGAACGGCGCCCCCUGCAGUCGUCCGGAGGAGCCCCACAAGCUGAGAUUUUUUUUUUGUUAUUUUUGUUCGUCUGAGACUCUACUGUAGAGGGUUGAAUGGCCCCACGGCCAUUUUCCAUCCCCCAGAACUUGUGCGUGUGACCUUGUUUGGGCAAAGGGUCUUUGCGGAUGAAAUCGGGUUGCGGAUGCAGUGAAGACACCAUCUUGGAUUAGGGCGGGCACUGGAUCUGAUG